rnacentral:lncRNA from 1 species
GCUGUGGCUUGCCUUUUCACUUCUUGUGUCCUGUUUAAGAAAUAUCUGCUAUCCCAAGAUUGCAAACUCCUAGAGAAGGGCUCAACAGUGAGUGCUGAGGCUGCACAGAGGAGGAAGGCAGCACAAUGAUGGAAGGCUUCCUAAAGAGAUAACACUAACAAAGUUGACCUUAGAAUUGGAGUGCCUGGGUUAGAACCCUGCUGGUACCACCUGCUUACUGCAUGCUUCUGAUGUGAGUUCAGGAGAAGACACUGGCAAGGACAGCAAAGAACAGGAGAACACUCUAGCUUCCCUGAUAGCAUUCAAGGUGCUGUCCAAAGCUCUUGAGUUUCUGCUUUCAAGUGACCCUCAGAAAUUCCUCCAUUCACUGCAGAGGUUCUGUUUCUCCUUGCUUUGUUCUGACUUUACGGCAGAACUAAGCUAAUGAGUUAGUUACUAUGGGUUAUCACUUGGAUUUGAAGAACCAUCAUUUCUAGGCAUUGCUGCUCAGAGUGGGUCUGCCCUCAGGGGAAGCUGUCUAACCAGAGCCUAACCCACUAGGGUUUUAUCAGAACCUAACUGACCUGAGGAAAAGAAAUACUCAACUCCAGCAAGCUCCAGCCUUCCAAAUGGAGGAGGAGAAAACCCAACUCCAGCCCACUUCAGCUAUCUUGUCCCACAUAAAGGGGAAGUGGAAGAAACCUGAGAAGCAGGCAUGAAGUUCACAGUCCAGAGGUACAGACACAUCAGAGUUCAGUAUCUGAUGAAUUAGAUGCAAAAACCUCAACAAAGUAUUAGCAAAUUGAAUUCAACAAUGUAUGAAAAUUAUUACAUGCCAUGACUAAUUGGAAUUUAUCUCAGGUAUACAAGCCACGCUGAACAUCUGAAAAUCAAUUCAUGUGAUCCAUCACAUUAGCAGACUCAAGAAAAAAAACCACAUUAUCAUAUCAGUAGAUGUAGAAAAAAAAAAUUAACAAAA